UGUGCAGCCCGCCCGCCCCUCGCGUCGCCGCCGCCGCCGCCGCCGCUGCCGCCGCCCCGGGUCAUGGUGCUGGGCCGCGGGCUGCUCGGCCUCCGGAGCGUCUCCGCACUGGGAGCCGCCUGCGCCCUCCGCGGCCUGGGUCCGGCCCUGCUGGGCGUCCUUCUCCAUCACACGGACUGUAGGAAGAGCUCCACCAUGAACCAGGGAACCCUGAGGGUCGAGUUGCUGCCCGCGCUGACCGACAACUACAUGUACCUGAUCAUCGACGGCGAGACCAAGGAGGCCGCCAUCGUGGACCCGGUGCAGCCUCAGAAGGUCGUAGAAACGGUGAGAAAGCACGGCGUGAAGCUGACCACAGUGCUCACCACCCACCACCACUGGGACCACGCUGGUGGGAACGAGAAGCUGGUCAAGUUGGAGCCUGGGUUGAAGGUGUGUGGGGGCGAUGACCGGAUCGGGGCACUGACUCACAAGGUCGCGCAUCUGUCCACACUGCAGGUGGGGUCUCUCAACAUCAAGUGCCUGUCGACACCGUGCCACACUUCCGGCCACAUCUGCUACUUCGUGAGCAAGCCCGGGAGCUCUGAGCCUCCUGCUGUGUUCACAGGCGACACCUUGUUCGUGGCUGGUUGUGGGAAGUUCUACGAAGGGACAGCGGACGAGAUGUACAAAGCCCUGCUUGAGAUCCUGGGCCGGCUCCCUCCAGACACGAGAGUGUACUGCGGCCACGAAUAUACCAUCAACAACCUCAAGUUCGCGCGCCACGUGGAGCCCAACAAUACUGCCAUUCAGGAGAAACUGGCCUGGGCCAAGGAGGUGGAGAAGGAAUUCUCAGGAGGAGUGAAUACUGGAGGAAGCAGGGAAUAUUCUAAAACACCCAGCUUGUUUUCACCAGAAGGGGAGGAUCAGAGAUUAGCGACAAGCCUUCAUCUUGACCUCCCGCCAGACCCCUGCUUGGCAUCCCACCAGCGGUUGAAGGAUCAUCUCUUGCCACCACUGGUCACGUUUGGGGGUGGCACGGGGACCCUCGGGUCUGAGGGCCCUGCGUGUGGGUGCCGACAGGUGCUGUCCAAGCUCUGACCCUGUGGCCCUUGAGAUCAGCCCGGCAGAAGAAGGGCAGGGGCCGCAGGGAGGGCGGAGACCCCCAGCUGCCAGCUGACGUCCUGCACAGGUCCGUACAGGAGUGACCAGUGGGCCAGAUGGUGCUGAUCAGGAGUGAAACCAUCCCGACUGGAGGGCUCGUCCUGGGUUUUUCUCCAGGGGAGCCUGUGACGAGAGCUUGCCGCCUUCCAGAGGGGCUGUGAGCCCAGGGCAGGGACCACGGGCACCUGUCACCUCGCUCUUGCAAGCAGUGAGCUGUGCGUGGCCCAUGACUGGUCUCGGUGCAGGGCUGGUGGUGUUUUCUUCUGCGUUUUCUGCGUUUUUGCUGGUUAUUUUAUCAUGUAAAACACACACUUCAUAUCAGCGUAAAAGUUUUCGCGUCCCCUUCCACUUCCAGGACAGCAAGGGGAGAAGGGACAACUCGUCGGUGGUGGCCGGGACACUCGCGUCUCCACAGCGGGAAGGGGCCCGUCCUUGCACUGACCUGACCCCGUUCACUUUGCCUUCUGAGUUGGAUGGUAUUUUAAGAUUAGAAAGUACUGUGAAACGUUCCUUUAGACGUUUCCGUGUUCACGUGACCUCUGUCCUCUGCAGGAGAAGUACGGUAUCGGGGAGCCCACAGUGCCGUCCACCAUCGCGGAGGAGUUCACCUACAACCCGUUCAUGAGAGUGAGCCUGGCCUUCGGCUUCUGCAGGGAGAAGACAGUGCAGCAGCAUGCCGGUGAGA